rnacentral:rRNA from 1 species
AGUCAAGUAAUUAAGUGCAUGUGGUGGAUGCCUUGGCAGUCAGAGGCGAUGAAAGACGUGAUAGCCUGCGAAAAGCUCCGGGGAGGCGGCAAAUAUCCUUUGAUCCGGAGAUGUCUGAAUGGGGGAACCCACCUACUUUAAGGUAGGUAUUGCAACAUGAAUACAUAGUGUUGCAAGGCGAACGAGGGGAAGUGAAACAUCUCAGUACCCUUAGGAAAAGAAAUCAAUUGAGAUUCCCUCAGUAGCGGCGAGCGAACGGGGAUCAGCCCAUUAAGUUAUGUGUGUUUUAGUGGAACGCUCUGGGAAGUGCGAACGUAGAGGGUGAUAUUCCCGUACACGAAAGGGCACACAUAAUGAUGACGAGUAGGGCGAGGCACGUGAAACCUUGUCUGAAUAUGGGGGACCAUCCUCCAAGGCUAAAUACUCCUGACUGACCGAUAGUGAACCAGUACCGUGAGGGAAAGGCGAAAAGAACCCCUGUGAGGGGAGUGAAAUAGAUCCUGAAACCGCAUGCAUACAAGCAGUGGGAGCACCUUCGUGGUGUGACUGCGUACCUUUUGUAUAAUGGGUCAGCGACUUAUAUUCAGUAGCGAGGUUAACCGUAUAGGGGAGCCGUAGAGAAAUCGAGUCUUAAUAGGGCGUUUAGUUGCUGGGUAUAGACCCGAAACCAGGCGAUCUAUCCAUGAGCAGGUUGAAGGUUGGGUAACACUAACUGGAGGACCGAACCCACUGUCGUUGAAAAGCCAGGGGAUGACUUGUGGAUAGGGGUGAAAGGCUAAUCAAGCCUGGUGAUAGCUGGUUCUCCCCGAAAGCUAUUUAGGUAGCGCCUCGGACGAAUACCAUAGGGGGUAGAGCACUGUUUCGGCUAGGGGGUCAUCCCGACUUACCAAACCGAUGCAAACUCCGAAUACCUAUGAGUACUAUCCGGGAGACAGACUGCGGGUGCUAACGUCCGUAGUCAAGAGGAAAACAAUCCAGACCGCCAGCUAAGGCCCCAAAAUCAUAGUUAAGUGGGAAACGAUGUGGGAAGGCAUAGACAGCUAGGAGGUUGGCUUAGAAGCAGCCACCCUUUAAAGAAAGCGUAAUAGCUCACUAGUCGAGUCGGCCUGCGCGGAAGAUGUAACGGGGCUAAAACUAUGUGCCGAAGCUGCGGAUGUAUACUUUGUAUACGUGGUAGGGGAGCGUUCUGUAAGCCGAUGAAGGUGUGUUGAGAAGCAUGCUGGAGGUAUCAGAAGUGCGAAUGCUGACGUGAGUAACGACAAAACGGGUGAAAAACCCGUUCGCCGAAAGACCAAGGGUUCCAGUCCAACGUUAAUCGGGGCUGGGUGAGUCGACCCCUAAGGCGAGGCCGAAAGGCGUAGUCGAUGGGAAAAUGGUUAAUAUUCCAUUACUUCUGUGUGCGAUGAGAGAGGACGGAGAAGGCUAAAUCAGCCUGGCGUUGGUUGUCCAGGUGAAAGGAUGUAGGCAUGUAUCUUAGGCAAAUCCGGGGUACUCUAUGCUGAGAUCUGAUAGCAAGCUGUACUUGUACAGCGAAGUGGUUGAUGCCAUGCUUCCAGGAAAAGUCUCUAAGCUUCAGUUACACAGGAAUCGUACCCGAAACCGACACAGGUGGUCAGGUCGAGUAGACCAAGGCGCUUGAGAGAACUCUGCUGAAGGAACUAGGCAAAAUGGUACCGUAACUUCGGGAGAAGGUACGCUGUUGUUGGUGAUGGAACUCGCUUCCUGAGCUGACGACAGCCGCAGAAACCAGGCCGCUGCAACUGUUUAUUAAAAACAUAGCACUCUGCAAACACGAAAGUGGACGUAUAGGGUGUGAUGCCUGCCCGGUGCUGGAAGGUUAAUUGAUGGGGUUAGCGUAAGCGAAGCUCUUGAUCGAAGCCCCAGUAAACGGCGGCCGUAACUAUAACGGUCCUAAGGUAGCGAAAUUCCUUGUCGGGUAAGUUCCGACCUGCACGAAUGGCAUAAUGAUGGCGGCGCUGUCUCCAGCAGAGGCUCAGUGAAAUCGAAAUCGCUGUGAAGAUGCAGUGUACCCGCGGCUAGACGGAAAGACCCCGUGAACCUUUACUGCAGCUUGACACUGAACUUUGACCUUACUUGUGUAGGAUAGGUGGGAGGCUUUGAAGCUGGAACGCUAGUUCCAGUGGAGCCGUCCUUGAAAUACCACCCUGGUAAUGUUGAGGUUCUAACUCUGUCCCGUGAUCCGGGACGAGGACCGUGUCUGGUGGGUAGUUUGACUGGGGCGGUCUCCUCCUAAAGAGUAACGGAGGAGUACGAAGGUGCGCUCAGCGUGGUCGGAAAUCACGCGUAGAGUAUAAAGGCAAAAGCGCGCUUAACUGCGAGACCCACAAGUCGAGCAGGUACGAAAGUAGGUCUUAGUGAUCCGGUGGUUCUGUAUGGAAGGGCCAUCGCUCAACGGAUAAAAGGUACUCUGGGGAUAACAGGCUGAUACCGCCCAAGAGUUCAUAUCGACGGCGGUGUUUGGCACCUCGAUGUCGGCUCAUCUCAUCCUGGGGCUGAAGCAGGUCCCAAGGGUAUGGCUGUUCGCCAUUUAAAGAGGUACGCGAGCUGGGUUUAGAACGUCGUGAGACAGUUCGGUCCCUAUCUACCGUGGGCGCUGGAAAUUUGAGAGGAUCUGCUCCUAGUACGAGAGGACCAGAGUGGACGAACCUCUGGUGUACCGGUUGUGACGCCAGUCGCAUCGCCGGGUAGCUAUGUUCGGAAGGGAUAACCGCUGAAAGCAUCUAAGCGGGAAGCCUACCUCAAGAUAAGAUUUCCCUAGGACUUUAUGUCCUCUAAAGAGCCGUUCGAGACUAGGACGUUGAUAGGUUGGAUGUGGAAGCAUAGUGAUAUGUGAAGCUGACCAAUACUAAUUGCUCGUGAGGCUUGACUAU